rnacentral:sRNA from 1 species
AUCCGCUAGGCGGGGCUUGGCAGGGUCGCUCGGCUUCUAGAGCGUGCGGACCCGGCCGAUCCCGCGAGGCGAGGUCGGAUGGUGGUGGCAGCCAUGGUGGUGCGGCGUGCGGGUCAUCGCGGCGGCGUAUAGCGCAGGCGCAGCCACGACGCCACCCACAACGCG